AUUGAACGCUGGCGGCAGGCCUAACACAUGCAAGUCGAGCGGAUGAAGGGAGCUUGCUCCUGGAUUCAGCGGCGGACGGGUGAGUAAUGCCUAGGAAUCUGCCUGGUAGUGGGGGAUAACGUCCGGAAACGGGCGCUAAUACCGCAUACGUCCUGAGGGAGAAAGUGGGGGAUCUUCGGACCUCACGCUAUCAGAUGAGCCUAGGUCGGAUUAGCUAGUUGGUGGGGUAAAGGCCUACCAAGGCGACGAUCCGUAACUGGUCUGAGAGGAUGAUCAGUCACACUGGAACUGAGACACGGUCCAGACUCCUACGGGAGGCAGCAGUGGGGAAUAUUGGACAAAGGGCGAAAGCCUGAUCCAGCCAUGCCGCGUGUGUGAAGAAGGUCUACGGAUUGUAAAGCACUUUAAGUUGGGAGGAAGGGCAGUAAGUUAAUACCUUGCUGUUUUGACGUUACCAACAGAAUAAGCACCGGCUAACUUCGUG
rnacentral:rRNA from 1 species